AAAGGAGCUCUUUGCAGCUUGUCUGCUGCCUCGAUUGCCGGCCAGGAGAACAAGCUGGAGAGCCGGCGAAGAGGGCAAGUGGGAUUCUUUUUCACUUUUAUAUUCAACAUGAGUACCCUCACCCAUGGGGAGUGCACUGGGUUCUUAAGGGUGCUGCUUACAGAUAUCAUGGCACAAAGAAAACAUAUGGAGAGGAGCACUUCAAAAAGAAACACACGAAGGAACAAGGACAGAAUGUUGGACUGCUUUUGAUCCUCGGCAACAUCUGUACAAUGUUGCAUAACAGUGGGUUGCCUCUAUAUUAUAUGAUUUCCUAUGGCUUGCUAGUUAGUCAGCGGAACAGUCCAGAACUCCAAACUAGGACUUCAAGCCACUCUUCCUCCAUCCAAUCAGACAUCAAAUACUGCAAGUUAUUAUCUGAUUAUUCCUAUAAGAAAGAUUCAUGUUGAUUCACUAACCUUUUAAUUGAACACAACUUAGUUCACUUUGCAUUAAAGUCUAACUUUGAGACCAU